ACGUUUCCAAAAUAUCCUUUUCAGCCUCCUCCUUCUUUAAUUGCAUAAACCUACGAGGAAAGGGUACAUUUGGAGGAAUAACAUUAGAAUUAAUUAAAAUUGGAAUUUCCUUACCUUUGUUGGCCGAAUUUGAUGGUUUAGGAGCUUUUGGGGCCUGCGGCAAAGGUGUCUCCACCCUUGCCGUGGGGACGCUUUGCUCCUCCUCUUCAAUUAUCAACUCUUCAACCUCAUUGGAACGUGAAUUGGAUGGUUAGGGAUCAGAUCCAACUUGUUUUCCACUUCGCAAAUUUAUGGCUUUUGCAGAUUCGAAUCCUCCCUUCGGGUUGACAACGGUUGAACUAGGCAACUUACUUUGCUCUCUGAAUUGUCCUACAAACUCCGUAAUCUGCCUAAUUUGCU
rnacentral:lncRNA from 1 species